GAUGAAGAACGUAGCGAAAUGCGAUAAGUAAUGCGAAUUGCAGAAUUCCAGUGAGUCAUCGAAUCUUUGAACGCACAUUGCGCCCUUUGGUAUUCCGAAGGGCAUGCCUGUUCGAGCGUCAUUAUCACCCCUCAAGCCCUCGGCUUGGUGUUGGACGGUUUGGUGGAGGCCCCCUCGGGGGUUCCCGCCCCUCCCAAAGACAAUGACGGCGGCCUCGUUGGACCCCCGGUACACUGAGUUCUUCACGGGACACGUAUCGGACACAUGGGUUUACGGGACACGGUCUGCCUCCCCUCAGGGAGAAUCUUUCUAAGGUUGACCUCGGAUCAGGUAGGGAUACCCGCUGAACUUAAGCAUAUCAAUAAGCGGAGGA
rnacentral:misc_RNA from 1 species